AGCGAACGCUGGCGGCAGGCCUAACACAUGCAAGUCGAACGAAGUCUUCGGACUUAGCGGCGGACGGGUGAGUAACACGUGGGAACGUGCCUUUAGGUUCGGAAUAACUCAGGGAAACUUGUGCUAAUACCGAAUGUGCCCUUCGGGGGAAAGAUUUAUCGCCUUUAGAGCGGCCCGCGUCUGAUUAGCUAGUUGGUGAGGUAAAGGCUCACCAAGGCGACGAUCAGUAGCUGGUCUGAGAGGAUGAUCAGCCACAUUGGGACUAAGACACGGCCCAAACUCCUACGGGAGGCAGCAGUGGGGAAUCUUGCGCAAUGGGCGAAAGCCUGACGCAGCCAUGCCGCGUGAAUGAUGAAGGUCUUAGGAUUGUAAAAUUCUUUCACCGGGGACGAUAAUGACGGUACCCGGAGAAGAAGCCCCGGCUAACUUCGUGCCAGCAGCCGCCGUAAGAC
rnacentral:rRNA from 1 species